CCGGCCGAGGGCGGGGGGGGGGCGGCGGGGAGGCGCUUCGUAGGGAGGAGGAAGGGCGGCUGCGGGCCUCGGGGGCGCGGUCCGACGGGCGAUGGUCGCCCCCGCCUCCACCCCUCCUCCCCCGUGGACGCCGAGUGGUGGUGCCCCCUCCGGCGGAGCGGGACUGCGGACGCAGCAGCGCUGACACCCCGCAGACGACCCCCACGGUCUACGUCCAGGCCUUCCCGGAGGGGAAACCGCCUUUAGCCCGAGCACGGCAGGGCCUCCAGCCUCUCCGGCCUCUGAAGUGUGCGGAAGUCAGGGAGGUUCACGGUCGGGCGCCCCUUCCCGCCCCUCACAGCCCGGGCAGCUGCUCUUCCCGCCGGGGGCCCUUGGUCCCGUGCCCCAGACCUCCCCCCGGCAAACCGCACCUAGACUCCAAAGCCACAGCCCCGCCACCCUGCGGCCCGCCCUGCGCAGCCGCGGCCACCACCCGACCCCACCGCAGCCGACUGACCUGGAGCAGCGGUGGUCACCACCCCCUCCACCCUGGCCGGUGACGACGCCCACCGCCUGCCCCAGUGUCCACCCCAAGCACUGGCGGCUCCCAUCCUCUCCCCCUGCCCCCCGCUCGCACCCCUCCCCAGCCAGGCCACCCACCCCUCACCCCCUCACCCCCUGAGGUCUGGGAUUGCAUGUCCUGGUUUGCACGGGCACCAGGGUGACUGCUGUGCAGAUCUCUGUGGUGCCCCCAGGUCCCAGGGGGCGAGGGCGCUUGGGAUGGGCCCGUUCUCCGGGGCCAGGGCCGCCACCCCUCUCUGCCCCUGUUUUCUUUUUAUUUUUUUUUAAAGACUUUAUUUAUUUAUUCAUGAUAGACACAGAGAGAGAGAGGCAGAGGGAGAAGCAGCCUCCACACAGGGAGCCUGAUGGACUCGAUCCCGGGUCUCCAGGAUCACACCCUGGGCAGCAGUCGGCGCUAAACCACUGCGCCACCGGGGCUGCCCGAAAUUUUGGAACUUUGAAGUGUGAUAUACACCCAGAAAAGUGUGCACGCGUCAUAACAGGGUCCUUGGGCCUCGGGGACAGCCCACCCCCCCACACACCAGCACCACCCCAGUGGAUUGUCCUCUAGGUUGCCAUGGUGAUCACUCCCUCUGCAAGGGGCUGGUGACGCCUAUGCCCCCAGGGCACUGCAGGGGCCUUCCUCCUGCUGUCCUUUCUGAGCUGGCUGCAGCUGCCCUCGGUGACCUGCUGGAGCCACUGAAUGCCGAACAGCCUUCAGCUUCUGCAGAGAUUUCUCGGAGGGUCCUAUACACAUGUGUGGGAUCUGUGUCCUCUUGCUGCUUUUCUCAAAUAGAUUUUUGGGGACGAGUCCAACAUCUCUUCCCUCUUGAUGGGCUGUGAGCGUAUUAGUAGUUUUAUAGUAGCCAACACUGCAGACAACCUUGAUGUCCAUCAUGUGGCCUAGGUGGGUCACAUCCCCUCAUGUACCUGGGUCAAGGAAGACUGCCACCCAGCUUGCACUCAGUGGGGUGUGUCCUGCCUCCCACUCACAUGGCCAGAACAAGGAGGAGGCAACUAAGUGUGAAUCUGUUCUAGAAGCUUCCAUCGGCUUUGAGGGAAAAUUCUUUAGAGUCACAGGCUUAGGGCUGGAAGGACGUCAGACUUGAAUCCUCUCAAGCUGCCUCAUCAACUGGAGCAUCUCCACUUUCUGGCAUCCUCAGCACUUCCCAUCCUGGCUGAGCUCUGCAGGGGCUGCUCCCAGAAGGCUUUGUUUGGGUGUCUGACCUGCCCCAAGGGAAGGGUCACAGCUGGCCCUGGAAACCCUUUUUGCCAACAGUGUUUCUAAGGAUAGGCUGUGACUUCAACCUGGUCCAUAAGAUAGAAGUGGAUGUCUGCUGGGGGCUUCUGGGAAGUUUUACCUGAGUUAAGAGAGGCAUGUGAGGAGAAAGCCCUUUAUCUCCCAUCUACCUUUGUUUUGGCGUAGCACACUGGAGUGUAGGAUGUAAUGCUUGGUGCUGCAGCAGCCAUCUUGAGACCAUGAGGAAAGACAAUGCCAAAUCAGUGAGAGCUACAGAAGGAGCCUGGAUCAUUUCAGUGGUUUUACUGCUGUUUAGUUAUUUUUAAAAUCCUGAAAAUUCAAACUAUGCAUUGAAUUAGCAUUGCUAAUCUAACAAAGUGAGCUGCACUAGUUCAGAAAGUGUGCUUGUGUACAUGCCUAAUCCUCAAGAGAAGAAAGCGCUAAGCAAAGCACAGCUUCCGUUGCAAGAAUAAUCCUUACUCUCAGCCAGACUUUUGAUGGACAGGAUGAUUUUGAAAGUGAGGUAAUAACUCAGCAGUGGCAUCUCUGAGGGCUCCUGGGACACUCUGGAGGUACUUCCUGUGGGGCAAGACCACUUCUCACUGUCAUUAGAGAAUGGUGUUCCACACACAAGCCCAGGGUACUCAUGUCUCCUCUGAGUUAUCAGCUUCCCACUAGCGUGGAAUGAGAAGGAGCAUUUUUGGACCUAAUAUAAUUAUCACAAAAGGCACCAUGACCCAGAGGUGACUCCCUGAGAUACUGUGUCUAAGAUGGUGCUUUAAAAAAUAGAAAAUCAUCCAGGGGCGCCUGGGUGAUGUAGUCUGUCAGCUGAGUGUCUGACUCUUGGUCAUGAUCUUGGUGGUAGGUUUGAACUCCGAGUCCUCUGCAUGCGGCGUGGAGUCUACGUGAGAUCCCCCCUCCCUCUCCCUUUGCCCCUCCCCUGCUCUCUCUCUUAAAAAAAAUAAAAAAGAGAAAGUAGUCCUAACUUCA